AGACCUUUAGUUUGAAACCCCGAAACCAAGUGAGCUACCCCGAGACAGCCUAUUUAAAUUUAGGGCUAACCCGUCUCUGUGGCAAAAGAGUGGGAAGAGCUCUGGGUAGAAGUGACAGACCUACCGAACCUGGUGAUAGCUGGUUGCCUGAGAAAUGGAUAGAAGUUCAGCCUCGUAUACCCCAAAUCAUAAAAGUAUAUCGUAAAGACAAUUAAGGGAAAAAUACGAGAGUUAGUUAAAGGGGGUACAGCCCCUCUAACAAAGGAUACAACCUUAACAGGAGGAUAAAGAUCAUAAUAUAUAAAACAUACUGUUUUAGUGGGCCUAAAAGCAGCCAUCUAAAUAGAAAGCGUUAAAGCUCGGACAGACAAAAGUUUAUUAUACUGAUAAAAAAAUCUUAUUCCCCUAACAAUAUUAGGCUAACCCAUGCCCACAUGGAAGAAAUUAUGCUAAAAUGAGUAACAAGAAGAAUUGCUCUUCUCCAGGCACAAGUGUAGGCCAGAUCGGACCAACCACUGGAAAUUAACGAACCCAACCCAAGAGGGUAAUGUGAACAACAAAAAAACCAAGAAAAACUCACAACAAAUUAAUCGUUAACCCCACACUGGAGUGCCACCUUUAAAGGAAAGACUAAAAGAAAGGGAAGGAACUCGGCAAACACAAGCCUCGCCUGUUUACCAAAAACAUCGCCUCCUGCAACUAGACUGAGUAUAGGAGGUCCAGCCUGCCCAGUGACUACGGGUUCAACGGCCGCGGUAUUUUGACCGUGCAAAGGUAGCGCAAUCACUUGUCUUUUAAAUAGAGACCUGUAUGAAUGGCUAAACGAGGGCUUAACUGUCUCCCCCUUCAAGUCAGUGAAAUUGAUCUAUCCGUGCAGAAGCGGGUAUAAACAUACAAGACGAGAAGACCCUUUGGAGCUUAAGGUACAAAGUUUAACCACAUUAAGCGACUCAAUAAAAAGCAAAAAAUUAGUGGGAAUGAAGUUUUACCUUCGGUUGGGGCGACCACGGAGGAAAAACGAUCCUCCGAGUGGAAUGGGCUAAACCCCUAAAACUAAGAGAAACAUCUCUAAGCCGCAGAACAUCUGACCAAAUAUGAUCCGGCUAAUAAGACCGAUCAACGAACCAAGUUACCCUAGGGAUAACAGCGCAAUCCUCUCCCAGAGUCCAUAUCGACGAGGGGGUUUACGACCUCGAUGUUGGAUCAGGACAUCCUAAUGGUGCAGCCG
rnacentral:rRNA from 1 species